rnacentral:rRNA from 1 species
UACGGGGGGGGGCAAGCGUUGUUCGGAAUUACUGGGCGUAAAGGGCGCGUAGGCGGCCUGCUAAGUCGGACGUGAAAUCCCUCGGCUCAACCGGGGAACUGCGUCCGAUACUGGCGAGGCUUGAAUCCGGGAGAGGGAUGUGGAAUUCCAGGUGUAGCGGUGAAAUGCGUAGAUAUCUGGAGGAACACCGGUGGCGAAGGCGGCAUCCUGGACCGACACUGACACUGAGGAGCGAAAGCCAGGGGAGCAAACGGG